UACGAAGGGGGCUAGCGUUGCUCGGAAUUACUGGGCGUAAAGCGCACGUAGGCGGAUUGUUAAGUCGGGGGUGAAAUCCUGGAGCUCAACUCCAGAACUGCCUUCGAUACUGGCGAUCUCGAGUCCGGGAGAGGUGAGUGGAAUGCCGAGUGUAGAGGUGAAAUUCGUAGAUAUUCGCAAGAACACCAGUGGCGAAGGCGGCUCACUGGCCCGGUACUGACGCUGAGGUGCGAAGCGUGGGGAGCAAACAGG
rnacentral:rRNA from 1 species